rnacentral:rRNA from 1 species
GCGCACGAGAGCUUGCUCUUGGUGGCGAGUGGCGAACGGGUGAGUAAUAUAUCGGAACGUAUCCAAUAAUGGGGGAUAACUAAUCGAAAGGUUAGCUAAUACCGCAUACGCCCUACGGGGGAAAGCAGGGGAUCUUCGGACCUUGCGUUAAUGGAGCGGCUGAUAUCUGAUUAGCUAGUAGGUGAGGUGAAGGCUCACCUAGGCUUCGAUCAGUAGCUGGUCUGAGAGGACGACCAGCCACACUGGAACUGAGACACGGUCCAGACUCCUACGGGAGGCAGCAGUGGGGAAUUUUGGACAAUGGGCGCAAGCCUGAUCCAGCCAUUCCGCGUGAGUGAAGAAGGCCUUCGGGUUGUAAAGCUCUUUCGCAAGGGAAGAAACGACACCGACGAAUAAUCGGUGUUAAUGACGGUACCUUGAUAAGAAGCACCGGCUAACUACGUGCCAGCAGCCGCGGUAAUACGUAGGGUGCGAGCGUUAAUCGGAAUUACUGGGCGUAAAGCGUGCGCAGGCGGUUUUGUAAGUCAGAUGUGAAAUCCCCGGGCUCAACCUGGGAACUGCGUUUGAAACUACAAGGCUAGAGUAUGGUAGAGGGGGGUAGAAUUCCACGUGUACAGUGAAAUGCGUAGAGAUGUGGAGGAAUACCAAUGGCCAAAGCAGCCCCCUGGACUAAUACUGACGCUCAUGCACGAAAGCGUGGGG